rnacentral:misc_RNA from 1 species
GAUGAAGAACGCAGCGAAAUGCGAUAAGUAAUGUGAAUUGCAGAAUUCAGUGAACCAUCGAAUCUUUGAACGCACAUUGCGCCCGGCAGUAAUCUGCCGGGCAUGCCUGUCCGAGCGUCAUUUCUGCCCUCGAGCGAGUCCAGCAUCUAGGUGCUGGGCCCGCCCAGCGUUGGGGCACUACGGGAAGCCCUGUGCUGUCCCCCGUAGGCCCCGAAAUGAAGUGGCGGUCCUGCCGCGGCGCCCCCUGCGUAGUAUAACAGCUCGCUUCGGGACCCGGUGGAGGCCUGCCGUCAAACCUUACUCUCUAAGUUUGACCUCGGAUCAGGUAGGGUUACCCGCUGAACUUAAGCAUAUCAAUAAGCGGAGGA